AUAACCAGGCAAUUAAAAUAUAACUAUAUGCUCCUUGUGGUGUUAUUAUAUAGGAAGGAACACUAGUCAAUACCCAUUUCUUGUUUUCUAUUAUUAUGUUCUUCUCUGUCCUUUGACCAGGUGGCUCUGGCUAUUGCAAAUACGGUUGGAGCAAGUAUGCUGCUCCAUCUGUGCGCUCUGCUACUUUCUCGGAAUUUGGUAACAUUGAGUCUCCAAUGUAUACCAGACUUAGACAGUUUUUUUCCACUAUUUAUAGCAGGAUGCAGGUAAGAGCACCAUCACAGCCAGUGGUUGUGUCUAUACCAAUAUUGCAUUAUGAUGGUCAGCUUCUAUAUAUUCAUUGCCUUUUCUGUAAUUUAGAUAGUUCAAUUUUUUUGAAGUUUGGUCGUGUAAUUCCUUAGUGAGACACUUGAGAAUUGUGUGUUUUUC